AUUGAACGCUGGCGGCAUGCCUUACACAUGCAAGUCGAACGGCAGCACGGGUGCUUGCACCUGGUGGCGAGUGGCGAACGGGUGAGUAAUACAUCGGAACAUGUCCUGUAGUGGGGGAUAGCCCGGCGAAAGCCGGAUUAAUACCGCAUACGAUCCACGGAUGAAAGCGGGGGACCUUCGGGCCUCGCGCUAUAGGGUUGGCCGAUGGCUGAUUAGCUAGUUGGUGGGGUAAGGGCCUACCAAGGCGACGAUCAGUAGCUGGUCUGAGAGGACGACCAGCCACACUGGGACUGAGACACGGCCCAGACUCCUACGGGAGGCAGCAGUGGGGAAUUUUGGACAAUGGGCGAAAGCCUGAUCCAGCAAUGCCGCGUGUGUGAAGAAGGCCUUCGGGUUGUAAAGCACUUUUGUCCGGAAAGAAAUCCUUGACUCUAAUACAGUCGGGGGAUGACGGUACCGGAAGAAUAAGCACCGGCUAACUACGUG
rnacentral:rRNA from 1 species